rnacentral:rRNA from 1 species
AUUUGUUUGAUUUUUUUUAUGGGUAGGUUUGUAUUUGGUAUUUUAUUUUUAGUUAUGAGGUUGUAUUUUAUUAAUUAUAUAAAUACUAAGAUAUUUUAUUGAAUAAGUUUGUUUUUUAAACAAGAAUUAGAUACUCUUUUAUAAAUAAGUUUAUUUGAGGAUUUUCUCAGUUAUAACUGAAAGAAAUUGGCAGCUGAUUAUAUCUUUCUAGGGGAGUGCGUAUUUUAAUAGAUGUUCCACUUAUUAUUUUACUGUAAAUAUUUCGUUAGUGUAUAUCCGGUUUAGUUAUAUAAAGUGAAUGUUUUGUGUAUAAAUUAUUAUUUUUAAUCCAGGUCACUAUGCUGCUUAUUUUAUAGUUAAUAUUCGCUACAAUUUAAAAUUAUUUGAUGAAAAUUUUAUUUAUUUAGGACUUAGUAGUAUUAUAAAAUUUUAAUUAGUUUAUGAGAAUUAAGUUUAGUUGGGGCACACAUCGCCCGUCAUCUUCGAUUU